rnacentral:tRNA from 4 species
GCUGAGGUACCCAAGCUAGGUACGGGGUCAGCCUCGAGAGCUGAUGUCCUUCGGGACUCGUGGGUUCGAGUCCCACCCUCAGCG